UACAGAGGUCCCGAGCGUUGUUCGGAUUCAUUGGGCGUAAAGGGUGCGUAGGCGGCGGGGCAAGUCUGAUGUGAAAGUCCCGGGGCUCAACCUCGGAACUGCCUUUGAUACUGGUGAUCUUGGAGUCCGGGAGAGGUGAGUGGAACUCCUAGUGUAGAGGUGAAAUUCGUAGAUAUUUGGAGGAAUACCUGUGGCGAAGGCGGCCUUCUGGACCGGUCCUGACGCUGAGGCGCGAAAGCGUGGGGAGCGAACAGG
rnacentral:rRNA from 1 species